UUGUUCCACUCCCACAUGGAUGUGCCUGAGCUGGAGGCCCUGUAGCAGCCAAACUCUGCUCUUUUAACAGCACUCCUGGGAAGAAUUCACCACAGAAGAGCAAAGGGCAGCUUUCCCUCCACCAGCAUCAGGCAGGGCUACUACUGCUCUUUAAUUCCAGAUGCCCUUGGAGUCAGAGCUGGGCAUCUCCUUGCCCAUGAAGAGGGCUCACCUACUGGCAUUGCUCUGGUGCACAGAGAGCACAAAAUAAGGCUGGAGAGAAGCGCCCCGAGCAAUGCCAAUUUCCCUGCUCGGUUUCCCAGCCAGGAACACUCGGACCAUGUCUUGAGGAAACUGCUGACACCUCUUCCCACCUCAGCUCUGUCACUGUCCCCCAUGGGGCUGUUGGUGAUGCAGACCAGGCUGGUUCUGCUCUGGCUCUGAACAGCCUGUUUCUCCCCCACACAUCUAUUAUACAAACUCAUGUAAGUUCACUGGGUAAAGCCUGAUGUUCAACUUUUGCACAAAGUCAGCAGAAUGAAAGAAAAAGGAGAAGCCCAACCCCCACUGCUUUCUCCAGUUUUGCUCCGUAUGCAAAACCUGUCUGUACAGUUCUGCUGAGCGCUGAUGCCCUACUUUCAUCCCUCACAUAGCUCAACUAAAAAUACACUGAGAUUUCAAGCAAGGUCCCUGCUGUGAACUGUCUGAGUGAGCAGGCGUUGCUGCAGCCCCAGCCCCACCCAUGCCUGCACCAUCCCGUGCUCCCGGCACAAUUUUCACCAGCCCUGGGCACCACACAGGAUGAGAAAAAGCUGGCAAUCUGGAGAAAAUCAAUACCCCUCCUUUCCAUCAGCUCCAGCAAAAUGUCCUGACGUGGUGUUGCAAGGGCAAAACUGAAGGAAGAGAUGAGGUAACUUAGGAGCUACUCGCUACUAUUGCUACUAUUAGUGGUGUUUGUAACACAGCGGUACCAAUGAAGCCCUGCUGGUAUCGAGUGUGGUUUAGAGCAGUAACAUCUGGAGCUCUGAAACAGUCAUGAAAAUAAAACCAUGGCCAAAACUAUUCAUACUUGCUUUAUGUGCUGAGAAGAGACUACCAUGCUAUUUUUUUGUCUGAUUUGUGCAGUCCUGAGGAAGCAAGAUAAA